UGUGGUUUAUAAAGACCCUGGUUUGCCAAAUAUCAUAAGGAGUUUAUGCAGUCACUGAUGACAUGAGAGACACACACACAGGAGGAGGAUAAACCAACUAAUAACUGGCUAAAUAGCUGUGCAUCUGGUGCUAUAACUGUAAAUUUAGUUGUUGUAUGCACUUCUUGGAUAUAAAACAUUGUAAUGUCUGAAGUAAAGUUUACAGAAUUUAUUGUCUAGUUAAUAUUUGUAACAUUCAUUUCUUUCAAGACUGCAGUGAAAACUUUUUCACAAUGCGUAAUAAAAUCAGUUGUAUAGUUUCUUGA